GGAGUUGUAGCUCAAUGGUGGAGCGCUUGCCUUGCAUGCAUGAGGCACUGGGUUCAGUCCUCAGCACCA
rnacentral:tRNA from 1 species